GAGGCGGCGGCGGGGCCCCGCUCCAGCAGGCGGCUUUGUCAACCAGAAGCCCACCAGGCCCAGAGAACACCAUCGACCAUCAGUGCCCAGAAAGCAACAAGAAGCCAUUGGGACAGUCCACGAUAUUAUAUGAUUACUCAGAGGAGGAGCUCAUGGCAAGCAUCGAGCGGGAGUACUGCCGCUGAAUCCAGUUGCACAGCAGGAGAAUGUCAGGCAUGAUCCUGGGAGCUCAGCUGGAGCAGAACUGCUACUGACAGAACAACAGUGAGACAGCAGGGGAGAGGUGGGUGGUGGAGGGUGGUGGCACAUGAGAGGCAGCGUGGCUGCUUGGGGAGCACGGAGGAGAAAGUUCACCUCAUCAGCUCUGGGUGAGAGCACAGAGAUCCUCACCAACUGCUGAUUGCUGGUCGGUGCCACUGGAAGAGGGACCGGUUCAUCUUAAGAGUCAAUAUUUAGGAGCUCUUUUCUAAAUGCUGUUUAUAAAUGAACAUGUACUAGAAUUGAAGUGUCACUCUAGAGGUGUUGAAAUGUGGUGCUUUGAAGGAAGAUCUUGCUUUGACUUAGUAAGAAAAAUGCAUCAAUAUCAUUUGAGCCAGAACCUACUUACGGGGAUGUUGAAUGAAAUUCAUGUUCCUGCCACUUAAAAUGUGCCAAAUGUACUCCUUGCAUUGUGCAAGCCUCAGGUCCAGGUCUGAACUUGGUACUGUCUCUUUCAAUCUGGUUCCCAGUAGGGGAGGUAAGAGGAGAAGGGGACUGAACCCACCAUCCAGUACACAGGUAGUGUAAUCCCAGAGUUCAAAUCCCACCACACAGGCAAAUCAGGCUCCUGAGAGCAUCAGGGAACACAGAAUUUGUAUGAUCCCUUUGGGGCAGGAUCCUAGCAUAGGUGUCCUACCUGGGGCUCCUUGGUGUGGAUUCUCCAGUGAAAGCAGGAGGCACAUCCCCAUUUCAAUCACCCACCUGGAGAGGGACUUGCAUGCUCUUGUAGAGCAGCUGUUUGUGAUCAGUUUUCAGAAUUACCAGUCCUGGCCUUCCCCUACACUUUUAUCCUAGAAGAAAAAUCACUACAUUUUACCAUUAGCUGACCACAAAGUAAAGUGGAAAGUUAUCUCUCCUAAGGAAAUAGUACUUUUUCAGUGCUCACAGACAGGGAAGCCUGGUAUAUUUGGUUUCUGCUUUUAUUUUACUUGCAUCUUAACAUAUUAUAAGCAUCUGCUUAUUAUCAGAAGUAGAAAAAUACUUUAUUUCUAUCUUCAGCUGAAGCAUAAAAGGCAUCAGAUGAAAUCUUCACUAUGUGUAAAUGCAAGAAGAAACUGCAGGACACCUCUUAAGAUGCUGUAUUUUAAGUACUUUUUGAUUCCUGGGACCUGUGAAACAGAAAUAAAUGCAUCUUAUUCUAUGUA